GAAAAAUUUUCCUUUCUUCUUCCUCCCGCGCGCAACUCCCCUUUCCCCCUUCAUUUUCUUUUUCUAUUUUCUCCUUCACCAUGCCCUACCUCCAGCCGCACCCUCCAACCGACCACCAUCGCUCUCCUCCUUCUUUUCUUCUCCGAUCCACGGCCGCCGCCCCUAUUCUUCUUCAAUUUCUCUUUCUUUUCUACCAUACCCAGCCGCCGCUGCAACCGUCGGCCGCCAUCUCUGUUCGUGAAGCAAGCCGUACGCGUCGCCUUGCAGUUGUCAUCCAGAUAUGUGUCACCGUGCCUCGUCCUAAUCGCCUCUGUCUCCGUUGAAGCCAAGCCCAGCCGCCGCCCAUUCCUUUCCUCUCCGUUCGUGAAGCCCGGUCGCCGCGUCAGAUCGUCGAUCGAUUUUGAGGCAGCGCGCACGUCUCCUUCCAGUCGCGUGUUUCCUCUUCUUCCAGCAGCGUGUUCUUCUUCCAGCCGCAAUUCACAACCGACGUACACUCUAAUCUGUUUGUACGAUCUUUGUUGUUAGGUUCGAUCGUUGCUGCCGCCGUUUUUGUUGUGUUGGAAGUGACAUUGGGUCCCUCGUGUUCAUAACCGAAAUUGUGAAUUUUGGAGUUUGGCUCGCCAAUACUUCGUAUCUUUCGUGGGAUAUAGUUUGUUUAAGAAAUUGAGCAACCUUGAGGUAAGGGAUUUUCUACUGGACUCAACAACAAAAUUAAGAUAUAAUGACUAAUUAAGAUGUAUUGACUGUAUGGACCGUAUUAUAUUAUUUGAACUGAGUAGAGAUGACUGUUAUGAUGUAUGUUUGGACAUUGACUUAAAGUUUAAUGUUUGCUGUGUUUGACUGGGAGAAAUUAAUACAUAUAUGUGCAUGGGUUGAUGUGGACUGUGGUUGAGUA